AGUGAACGCUGGCGGUAGGCCUAACACAUGCAAGUCGAACGGCAGCACAGUAAGAGCUUGCUCUUACGGGUGGCGAGUGGCGGACGGGUGAGGAAUACAUCGGAAUCUACUUUUUCGUGGGGGAUAACGUAGGGAAACUUACGCUAAUACCGCAUACGACCUACGGGUGAAAGCAGGGGAUCUUCGGACCUUGCGCGAUUGAAUGAGCCGAUGUCGGAUUAGCUAGUUGGCGGGGUAAAGGCCCACCAAGGCGACGAUCCGUAGCUGGUCUGAGAGGAUGAUCAGCCACACUGGAACUGAGACACGGUUCAGACUCCUACGGGAGGCAGCAGUGGGGAAUAUUGGACAAUGGGCGCAAGCCUGCUCCAGCCAUACCGCGUGGGUGAAGAAGGCCUUCGGGUUGUAAAGCCCUUUUGUUGGGAAAGAAAAGCAGCAGGUUAAUACCCCGCUGUUCUGACGGUACCCAAAGAAUAAGCACCGGCUAACUUCGUG
rnacentral:rRNA from 1 species